ACCCCCAGGCCUCCUGCUGCUCUCGGGGGGCACGUGGGCAGCCCAGGCAGCGUGACGCUGAGCUGACCGAGUCCACGGAGGAUUUGGGGGAUUUUUACUUGCUAAAUAUUAGGCUUGUUAAGUGCACAUGCUGCUGAGCCGAUGUGAACUGAUUUUUAUUUUUUUCAGAGGAAUCUUGGACAAGUUUCACAGCUGUGGCAGCAAAAGGCACACUGGUGAUGGGAGGCUGAGCUCUCCACUCAGCGGCCUUUUCUGGUAAAAGAACUCUUUUUUUUUCCAAAGCAAAUAAUCGCAGCAGCAAAAUUACUGCGCAUCUCUUCAAGGUGCAGCAUAGCGUAUUUUCUGCUUGCAGCCCCAAGAUUAAUUCAGAAUAUAGCAUCGAGCUUCCCACCUUCCAGAAAUUAAAUGUCAUGAUCUCAUAUAAGUCCUGUAGGACAUGGACGGGGAGGAAGAGGGAGACAAAAGAAUCGAGGAAAAACCGCACCAUCCAGCCAGAUCUGCAUUAGGCCCCACAUCUGUAUCCUGGGAUCAGGUUUCUGCUGAGAUUUCGCUCGAGGGCAGCUUGUCCUUCCUGCUGGGAAGAGACCGUUUGCCACAGUAUGAGCGUGGCUGUGUUGGGAAAGUUUGGGGAAAAGCGAUAACUAGGAAAGGGGACCCCGGGUGGGCUCCAUUUCUUUGGGGGAGCCCAUGUCCCAGCAGCAUUUCCACCAGGCAACAACCCCAUCUGUAGGGCUCCUAAACCUGAAAGCACUGCCGUAUCUGAACGGCCUAAACCAAGUGAGCCCAUGACAAGGAGUGGGAUUUCAGGCAGUCGAGAAGUCAAGCCUGUGCCACGAGCUGAGAGAGCCCAGCGCCGUGUGCAGCAAGGCAGUAUGGAUGUGUAGGCUGCAAAAUUACAAGCUGCUUAUUGCCAAAUAUGUGGCUGCAACGAGCACACUGAAGCAGACUGGGUUUCCCUUUCACCCUCGUCUGGCCUCCUGUUAGUCUAUGCCUCUGCAGGGUGUCUGGAUGAAGCGCUAAAAAGUGGAAAUAGAGAUACAGAAUGAAAAACUUGAAUAAAACAUCCAGGCUCAA